AGAGUACUCCCUCCGUUUGGAAUUACUUGUCGCAGAAAUGGAUGUAUCUAGAUGUAUUUUAGUUCUAGAUACAUCCAUAUCCGAGACAAGUAAUUCCGAACGGAGGGAGUAGGUA
rnacentral:pre_miRNA from 1 species